UACGUAGGGGGCUAGCGUUGUCCGGAAUCAUUGGGCGUAAAGCGCGCGUAGGCGGCCCGGUAAGUCCGCUGUGAAAGUCCAGGGCUCAACCCUGGAAAGCCGGUGGAUACUGUCGGGCUAGAGUCCGGAAGAGGCGAGUGGAAUUCCUGGUGUAGCGGUGGAAUGCGCAGAUAUCAGGAGGAACACCGAUGGCGAAGGCAGCUCGCUGGGACGGUACUGACGCUGAGGCGCGAAAGCUAGGGGAGCAAACGGG
rnacentral:rRNA from 1 species